rnacentral:rRNA from 1 species
UGCAGUCGAGCGAACAGACGAGGAGCUUGCUCCUUUGACGUUAGCGGCGGACGGGUGAGUAACACGUAGGUAACCUACCUAUAAGACUGGGAUAACUUCGGGAAACCGGAGCUAAUACCGGAUAAUAUUUCGAACCGCAUGGUUCGAUAGUGAAAGAUGGCUUUGCUAUCACUUAUAGAUGGACCUGCGCCGUAUUAGCUAGUUGGUAAGGUAACGGCUUACCAAGGCAACGAUACGUAGCCGACCUGAGAGGGUGAUCGGCCACACUGGAACUGAGACACGGUCCAGACUCCUACGGGAGGCAGCAGUAGGGAAUCUUCCGCAAUGGGCGAAAGCCUGACGGAGCAACGCCGCGUGAGUGAUGAAGGUCUUCGGAUCGUAAAACUCUGUUAUUAGGGAAGAACAAACGUGUAAGUAACUGUGCACGUCUUGACGGUACCUAAUCAGAAAGCCACGGCUAACUACGUGCCAGCAGCCGCGGAAUACGUAGGUGGCAAGCGUUAUCCGGAAUUAUUGGGCGUAAAGCGCGCGUAGGCGGUUUUUUAAGUCUGAUGUGAAAGCCCACGGCUCAACCGUGGAGGGUCAUUGGAAACUGGAAAACUUGAGUGCAGAAGAGGAAAGUGGAAUUCCAUGUGUAGCGGUGAAAUGCGCAGAGAUAUGGAGGAACACCAGUGGCGAAGGCGACUUUCUGGUCUGUAACUGACGCUGAUGUGCGAAGCGUGGGGAUCAAACAGGAUUAGAUACCCUGGUAGUCCACGCCGUAAACGAUGAGGCUAAGUGUUAGGGGGUUUCCGCCCCUUAGUGCUGCAGCUAACGCAUUAAGCACUCCGCCUGGGGAGUACGACCGCAAGGUUGAAACUCAAGGAAUUGACGGGGACCCGCACAAGCGGUGGAGCAUGUGGUUUAAUUCGAAGCAACGCGAAGAACCCUUACCAAAUCUUGACAUCCUUUGACCCUUCUAGA